UGACUCAGUGGUAGAGUGCUUACCUUGCAUGUAUGAGGCCCUGAGUUCGAUUCCUCAG
rnacentral:tRNA from 1 species